CUCAAAGGAAUUGACGGGGACCCGCACAAGCGGUGGAUGAUGUGGAUUAAUUCGAUGCAACGCGAAAAACCUUACCUACCCUUGACAUGUCUAAGACCCCGAAGAGAUUUGGGGGUGCUCGAAAGAGAAUUGGAACACAGGUGCUGCAUGGCCGUCGUCAGCUCGUGUCGUGAGAUGUUGGGUUAAGUCCCGCAACGAGCGCAACCCUUGUCAUUAGUUGCUACGAAAGGGCACUCUAAUGAGACUGCCGGUGACAAACCGGAGGAAGGUGGGGAUGACGUCAGGUCCUCAUGGCCCUUAUGGGUAGGGCUUCACACGUCAUACAAUGGUCGGGACAGAGGGCAGCCAACCCGCGAGGGGGAGCCAAUCCCAGAAACCCGAUCGUAGUCCGGAUUGCAGUCUGCAACUCGACCGCAUGAAGUCGGAAUCGCUAGUAAUCGCGGAUCAGCAUGUCGCGGUGAAUACGUUCCCGGGUCUUGUACACACCGCCCGUCACACCAUGGGAGUGGGUUCUACCAGAAGUAGUUAGCCUAACCGCAAGGAGGGCGAUUACCACGGUAGGGUUCA
rnacentral:rRNA from 1 species